CACUCUAGCUGCCCCAGCAGCCUGUAGCCACAAGGAGGAUGAGGCCAGGUUCCCGCUGCCCCUUCCUUUGUUCACAGAGUCAGUGGGUUUGGAGCCUUCUAGGGGACAGGGUGUGGCACGUGGAUGCUGGUCAGAGCCCUGCCGUCCCUGAGGACCUUGGGUGUGAGGCUUUAAUGGGCAGCAGUGCACCAAAGAAAAGCCACCGUGACCUGCCCAGCUGUCAGCCAAGCACCGUGGCUGGGUGGACUUCUUGGAAUGAAAUGGGGGGGCUGCAGGAAAGCCCUGGCCACGAAGCCGAGGGAGAGCCACCCGCAGGGCUUUUUGCAAAAGUGCAUGAAAAGCGAGCCUGUUCCGAAGACGGAGGCUCUGCUGCAGGCCCCGCUGGGGUUGGAGUCAAAGACCACGCCUCAGAACAGACGGCCCUGGGCUUUGCCGUCCCAGGGAGUCCCACCUCGUGGGCUGAGGCCCUGCGUGGGGGAGGCUGGGCUGGAGGGGACCCAGAAAAGGGGUACCACAGGGGGACCAAGCCAGGAGCCCCCGCCCAGUCCUCAGCUCAGGGCUUGGGCAGGAGGGUGGAGCUCUCUAGGAGCUGUGGGGCCGUGCAGGUCCAUACAGGGCAGAUCCUCAGCCAGCCUGUCAGGGCCGCGGUGCAGCACGCCCGAGGCCUUCAGUCCUAGCGCCGUGGUGAGCCCAGGGUGGGGCUGGGAAGGGGCUAGGGAGCUGGGCCUUCCCAACGGCGUGCGUGACCACCUUGCUUCCCUGGCUGCCCGCCCUGUGCGGAUCCCUGACUGGGCCUGGCCUGUCCUUAUGUCUUCUAGAUGAGACAAGGGGCCUUCCUGGUGAACACAGCCCGGGGUGGCCUGGUGGAUGAGAAGGCGCUGGCCCAGGCCCUGAAGGAGGGCCGGAUCCGCGGCGCGGCCCUGGAUGUGCACGAGUCGGAACCCUUCAGGUGCCCCCACGGCCAGUGCCGCCCCCCUGCUCUUCCCUGUCCACCAUCCUGCCGGCCUUGACCUCCAGACGGCGCCUCUGCCAGGCCGGACACUUGCCUGUACUCAGGCCUCUCGCUGGCCAGCAGUGGGGGAGUUUGCCGCCCGCUGCGGGGUGAGGAUGGAGCCACGGGCUCUAGGCCUGCCUUGCCUCGGUCCUGUGAGGG
rnacentral:lncRNA from 1 species